AUGCUAUCAAACACGCAAGAUGGAGUUGAAACUGUUCGUCUUUGCCUAGCAGCAUCAGAAUUACAAUUUAGCUGUAUCUCAGGUCACAAAAUGCUUUGGAUAGCGUAUGUACUCAUGUCAGUUGCAUUCCAUGUCUUUUGUCUCGUCUAUUUUAUUUGGAUCAGGAGAUGGAAAAUUAAGGUAACCAUUCUCGGUGUCGUCACUAUCAUCCUCACAUCGAGAUGUCUCCAACAAUGCCGCCAUACAUGUCCCUCGUGUUGUCAUUGUCAUCCUGAUAGGCAGCUCGAAUGCUUGGUUAGAGGAUCCCAGGUGCAAGGCAAACCGCCAUCUUCUCUCUCACUGUUCAUCGUCUCUAGACGCACCGCCGUCGACAUCAGCUACCGCCUAUACAUAUGA
rnacentral:rRNA from 1 species